rnacentral:rRNA from 1 species
CCUACGGGUGGCAGCAGUCGAGAACCAUUCACAAUGGGGGAAACCCUGAUGGUGCGACGCCGCGUGGGGGAAUGAAGGUCUUCGGAUUGUAAACCCCUGUCAUGUGGGAGCAAAUUAAAAAGAUAGUACCACAAGAGGAAGAGACGGCUAACUCUGUGCCAGCAGCCGCGGUAAUACAGAGGUCUCAAGCGUUGUUCGGAAUCACUGGGCGUAAAGCGUGCGUAGGCUGUUUCGUAAGUCGUGUGUGAAAGGCGCGGGCUCAACCCGCGGACGGCACAUGAUACUGCGAGACUAGAGUAAGGGAGGGGGAACCGGAAUUCUCGGUGUAGCAGUGAAAUGCGUAGAGAGCGAGAGGAACACUCGUGGCGAAGGCGGGUUCCUGGACAUUAACUGACGCUGAGGCACGAAGGCCAGGGGAGCGAAAGGGAUUAGAUACCCGAGUAGUC